UACGUAGGGUGCGAGCGUUGUCCGGAAUUAUUGGGCGUAAAGAGCUCGUAGGCGGCUUGUUGCGUCGACUGUGAAAACCCGCGGCUUAACCGCGGGCCUGCAGUUGAUACGGGCAGGCUAGAGUUCGGUAGGGGAGACUGGAAUUCCUGGUGUAGCGGUGGAAUGCGCAGAUAUCAGGGGGAACACCAAUAGCGAAGGCAGCUCGCUGGGACGGUAUUGAC
rnacentral:rRNA from 1 species